ACAUGAAUUUUAAAUUAUGCAUGAAGUCAUGAAUUUUAUCUAAAUUUGAUAGUACAUGUAACACCCCGUACUUUUCCCUACGUUGUGAGAUAGUGUCUUAACACUAUUGAGAGUACUGAGAUGUCAAAGAGAUUGACUGUCCUAUUAAGAAAAUAGGAAUAAUGAGUUGGAAAUAGAGUCGAGAAAGAAAGAGUGAAAAACCUUGAUAAUGAAAAGAGCCGGUCAGAGAGACGUCUAGUUUGUCUAUGUUUGCCGACUGCUUUGAUGCGAUAUUAUGUGAAAUUACGUGACUGAUUGAUUAUGUGAUUUUCGUUACUUGUGUCUUUAUGAGCAAAUUAUUAUGAUUUUUAUUUGAGACUUUAGCACUUGGAAUUUUGAUUAAGUUUCCAAAGCAAGUGUGGUUUAUUUUUACCGAGAAAUCGAAUGAUGACGGUUUAUGGAAAUUUUUCCAAGCAUAAUAUUUUUAAAUUAUUUUUCCUAUGAUGAGGAAUAUUAUAAUUGAGUGAGUGCACUAAUAUUAGUGCUAUAAUUAUUUUAUUUUGGUCACAUGAAUAAUUACGCUAUGGUAUUUUAUUAAUGAGUAAUAUUUCCAUAAUUAUUGUGGUUAUUAUUUAAUCACCCUUCUCACACUAUUAUUUUAAUUUCUCAAGCAUGUGACUAAAUACCACAAAUUGCCAAGUGGAUUAAAUAGAGAGUGUAGAGAUUAGAGAGAGAGAACAAGGCAUUAAUUGCCAAAUAUUUGAUAAGAUUCACUAAUAUCCUCUAAGAUUUUCCAAAUCUUUUAAUAUCUAGCAAAAUCCUCUCUCACUCCUCACUCCCUCACCAAUCGGCCCCCUCUUCUCUCCCUCAUCACUCACUUUCCACCAUUGUCAACCAUAGAUGAGACCUCCAAAGCUCCACAAAAUUAUGCCAAACACAUAAAUCACCAUCAAAAUCUUACCUAAACACCUCCUAUCAACUUGAUUCCAAGGAGAUCCUUGAAGAUUGGCUUCAAAGCUAGAGAGAGAAAGUUUGAUACUUGGUGUAAAUUUGGACAAAGGUCGCUAGCUAGGGUUAACGUGUACACUUAUAGAGACCGCGAGUCGCUUGCGACCAGUCUUGGCGUCCGUGGUAAGGAGGCCUCCUUCCCGGCGCGUGACAGAAAGGAACAGAUAUGGAUCAUAUGAAGGAAAAUGGGUCGGCCGGCCAAUCUUAUGAAAAUGAAAGAAAUGUUUUAGUAAGCGCAGGUUGAGCAGCUGAUGGAAUGGAAUGGUGUUGAGCGGGUGUUCCUUUGAUCAUUUCAAGAAAUGUAACCUUGAGUAUACAUUUUUAUAUGUAUAUCUCACACGUUUUCCGCUGCAAAACACUUUGAUUAGGAUAACUCUAUGUUAUGAAGUUGUGAUACGUGAUAUUGGGUAACCCACCUUAAUCAGUUCUCCUUUAUGUGUAUGUUUUAUAAGUAUCCAAAUGAUCAUAUAUGAUCCUAGCAUUUUAUCUAUGAGUGAUAUUUCCAUAUACUUUAAUGUUAA